UUAUUUUCUGAUCAAAAGAAAAUUCUCUCUUGAAACCCUUGCCUUCCACUGUUUUGAUUUGUGAUUUACAGAGAUCAAAGAAGAAAAUAAAACAUGCAAUUCGAUGAGUAGAAAGAAGAAGAGAAGAGGAACACGAGCAUGUACGUGGUUUGACUUAACACAGGGCCUACAUUCACGGGAAGGGAUGAAGUUUUAUUUUUUAAAGAUUAUACAGAGAAAAGUUUCUUUACAAGCUUUUUGUUUGAGAAAAUGUAAAAGUACCACAUAGUAUGUAAAUGUAACUACUAUUUAUAUUUGUAUACGUUUCUGUUAUAAAAACUGUUAAAGAAACUAGCCGUUGGCUUCACUUGAGAUUAUUUUCUUCAAAUCUCCACCUUAAUCUCAGCUCUGUAAAUCUUCUCCCUUCCAAAUCUGAUCUCUGAUUAUCCUUUUUCAGGUAGAACAAAGCUGAUAAGGUCAAGGCACUUACUGAGUUUGAGCUUCAAAACCGGCUUGGUAAGAAUGUCUGCGACAUUUUCUGAGAUUGUUGGGUUAAUUUCGACUUCAAGCCUACAAGGAAAAGAAAGACCAACCCAAUUCAACUUGGUAGGUGAAACGAAAGGCACACAAUGUGCCACACUUCUUAGCUGGCUAUGCAACACGUGGGAAUCUCCACUAACUCGAUUCAGUGGGAGAGAUGAAGCCGACCCAAUCUUGUUCGAUGAGAUCAAAGAAUAAAAUAAAACAUGCAAUGAUGAGCAGAAAGAAGAAGAGAAAAGGAACACAAGAAUGUACGUGGUUUGGCUUAACACAGAGCCUACAUCUACGGGAAGGGUUGAAGUUUUAUUUCUUGAAGAUUAUACAGAGAUAAGUUUCUUUACAAGAUUUUUGUUUGAGAAAAUGUAAAAGUACCACAUAGUAUAUAAAUGUAACUACUAUUUAUAUUUGUUAUAAAAAUUGUUAAAAAAAACUAGCCGUUGGCUUCACUUGAGAUUAUUUUCUUUAGUUAUGUAUUUAAGUUUACCCAUGGAAACCCUAUAAAUAGGAUUGACAUUGACAUUGUUGAUGUAUCCAAGUGUAUAAAGAAGAACACACAAAGAGAGUUUAAUCAAAAGUGUGAACCAAGUUUGAAGAGUCUUUCAAUUAAAAAUGUUUUUGUUUCCUCUCAAAUAAUUGUUUGUUCGUUAUUUCUUUGUGA